GAUGAACGCUGGCGGCGUGCCUAAUACAUGCAAGUCGAGCGAACAGACGAGGAGCUUGCUCCUCUGACGUUAGCGGCGGACGGGUGAGUAACACGUGGAUAACCUACCUAUAAGACUGGGAUAACUUCGGGAAACCGGAGCUAAUACCGGAUAAUAUAUUGAACCGCAUGGUUCAAUAGUGAAAGACGGUUUUGCUGUCACUUAUAGAUGGAUCCGCGCCGCAUUAGCUAGUUGGUAAGGUAACGGCUUACCGAGGCAACGAUGCGUAGCCGACCUGAGAGGGUGAUCGGCCACACUGGAACUGAGACACGGUCCAGACUCUUACGGGAGGCAGCAGUAGGGAAUCUUCCGCAAUGGGCGAAAGCCUGACGGAGCAACGCCGCGUGAGUGAUGAAGGUCUUCGGAUCGUAAAACUCUGUUAUUAGGGAAGAACAAAUGUGUAAGUAACUAUGCACGUCUUGACGGUACCUAAUCAGAAAGCCACGGCUAACUACGUG
rnacentral:rRNA from 1 species